rnacentral:lncRNA from 1 species
GUUUGGGGUUGAGGGGCUCACUGGCCAGUUUUUCCAUGUUUCUCAAAUAAAACUCUGGUGUCAUCAAGAAACAUGGUGGAGGGAGACAUGAAGACUUUAGAGACAGGAACCACUGCAGAAAUAUCAGGAGAUGGGGAGGCAGAGGAAAGAAAGGAGAGAUCUGUGGAUCCCGUGAGCACCCCAAAUUGGAACCACUCCUUACCGUGCCUCAAGGAAGCAACAGACCUCCAAACUGCAUGGUGUACCUCAAAAGAGCAAGACCCAAGCAAAAAGAAUGCUGCCUGAUUUCCUGACAUUAACAAUGAACACAGCCAGACUCAAGAGGAGGAAGCUACUGGGACCACGGCAGUCAAGGAAACACCAUCAACACCCAGUCUUCCUC